rnacentral:lncRNA from 1 species
UGGGACUGGGCUUCAAGGAGGGAAAGUGGCAGCUGUUGCCUUGAAAACUCAGCAUGUCACCAAAUUCAUGUUGCUUCCUCUUGUUUUUAUAAAUGUGUCCUCUAGGGGCUUCUGGGAUUCAUCGGUCUAGUUGGGGAGCCAGGAAUUGUGGGAGAAAAGCCUGUCUAGACUGGUCCAGAAGGAGUGAUUCGGGUCCGAUCCUCUAGCACCUCAUCGAGGUUGGGCCAGAGUGAAAGAAAGACCUGCUAUGGCUGUUUCCACCUCAGCAAGCCCAGCCCAGGGAAAGCCAGGCCUAAGGAAGACCACGUGAUGUGGACCCGGAUCAAAGGGGACAAUGGUGACCGUGGCAUAAUGGGACCACCAGGUGCUCCGGGACCCAAGGGGUCGAUGGUAAGGAGUAAGUCUGCAUCCUUCUGCCCUCUCCUGUUGCAGCCUAGGUGACAGUCCCACUCUUCUGCCACCUGGCGCAAGCCCCAGGUGCUCAGGAUGACCAGCUACUACUCCCUCCCAGCUUGGGCUGCCCGGCUGUGGAAGGACUGAGG